rnacentral:lncRNA from 1 species
CGGCCUUGCAUCCUCCUUGUCUUCAGUGUUGUCGUCCUUCCCUCGGCAGCAGCAGCAGUAGAUGAUGAUGCCAAUGAUAAUGAGGGCUGCAACCACGCCCACCGCGAUGCCCACAUACAGGGCCACGUUCAUGGAGGCUGCAAGAGGACAGAGCAGCUGCACUUGCCGAGCUUCUAAGCUAGCUCCGGGACUCCUCCCAGCCAGGGGAGCAGCAGCUACCAGCUUCUGGUAACACUCCAUGAAAGGCAUGGUCUUGGAGGAAUGUGACCAGCCAUGGCCCAGGAAUAUUCUUCAGGAUGGAGGUGCAGACAGAGACAUAUGGACCACUUCACAUCUUAACACUUUCUGGGCUACCCUGGCUCUGCAAAAGUCCUCAGGUGUCAGCCCGGCCAGCUCAUUAAGCUAGAUUUGGUGUCUCACCCCAGAAGGAUGUGGUCCAGACUCUGCGGCAGCUGCCCUGGGCACUUCCUCCAUGCCCACCGAGUGGUUCCUAGGCAGGUGGGACUGACAAAGCCUCUGAGUCCUAGAAGUCAGUCCUAGGUUCCACUUCCAAACACCAGUGGAACUGGACUGGCCUCAGAGUGAGGGGAGCCUGGGACAGAGUCAUCCUGCCUAGGUCACCACAGCUAACCUGCAGGUGCGUGGCCCUAGAGAGGUUCCCCUAUUCCUCCUCAGGUGGUCUCAGCUGACUCUCUGGACCCCCACCAGUUACCCUGUGGCGUUUGUCAGCCCUCCCCCCGCAGGCUGCUCUUACGAGAUCUGACGGCCACCGUGAUGUUGCAGAACUGCGUCCCCUCCUCAUUGCUGGAGAAAAUCUUUAGCUGCUGAUCACAGCUAUAAACGAGAUGAAGAGGGUCCCUGUCCUCUUGGUGUUUCCAGUCUCCCAAAGAAGACAGACAUGAAACAAUGGUGGUUACAGUUCAAGAUGGAGGUACUAUCUGAGCUUAUGGCAAGGGGUUUUAAUCUCAUCCAAAGGGCCAAGGAAUGCCUCUUUAAAGA